rnacentral:rRNA from 1 species
GACGAACGCUGGCGGCGUGCUUAACACAUGCAAGUCGAACGGAAAGGCCCUGCGUUUGUGUGGUACUCGAGUGGCUAACGGGUGAGUAAUCUAUGUUUAACCUUCCCUUAACUUUGGGAUAACUUUCUGAAAUUGGGGUUAAUACCGGAAGUGUACUCUUGCUGCAUGGUUGGGGUUGUAAAGUUUCGUCGGUUGGGGAUGGACUCGUGGCUUAUUAGCUUGUUGGUGGGGCAGUGGCUUAUCAAGUGUUUGGCGGGUAUCAGGCCUGAGAGGGUGACCGGCCACACUGGGACGGAGAGACGGACGAGACUGAUGCGGGCGGGAGCCGUGAGGAAGAAAGCAUGAAGAACGGAAGAAUGCCGCAGCCACGCAGAGCGCGGGAGGAAGGAAUGCGGAAUGUAAACUGAUUUCGCCUGUGAAGAGGCGUGAGUGACGGUAAUGGGUAAAGAAGCACCGGCUAACUACGUG